UGGGGAAUAUUGGGCAAUGGGCGAAAGCCUGACCCAGCAACGCCGCGUGAGGGAAGAAGGUUUUCGGAUUGUAAACCUCUGUCCUUGGUGAAGAAAAAAGUGACGGUAGCCAAGGAGGAAGCCCCGGCUAACUACGUGCCAGCAGCCGCGGUAAUACGUAGGGGGCAAGCGUUGUCCGGAAUGACUGGGCGUAAAGGGCGUGUAGGCGGCCGAUUAAGUCUGGAGUGAAAGUCCUGCUUUCAAGGUGGGAAUUGCUUUGGAGACUGGUUGGCUUGAGUGCGGAAGAGGCAAGUGGAAUUCCCAGUGUAGCGGUGAAAUGCGUAGAGAUUGGGAGGAACACCAGUGGCGAAGGCGACUUGCUGGGCCGUAACUGACGCUGAGGCGCGAAAGCGUGGGGAGCGAACA
rnacentral:rRNA from 1 species